GACGAACGCUGGCGGCGUGCUUAACACAUGCAAGUCGAACGCUGAAGCUCAGCUUUUGUUGGGUGGAUGAGUGGCGAACGGGUGAGUAACACGUGAGUAACCUGCCCCCUUCUUUGGGAUAACGCCCGGAAACGGGUGCUAAUACUGGAUAUUCACUGGUCUUCGCAUGGGGGUUGGUGGAAAGGGUUUUUCUGGUGGGGGAUGGGCUCGCGGCCUAUCAGCUUGUUGGUGGGGUGAUGGCCUACCAAGGCUUUGACGGGUAGCCGGCCUGAGAGGGUGACCGGUCACAUUGGGACUGAGAUACGGCCCAGACUCCUACGCGAGGCAGCAGUGGGGAUUAUUGCACAAUGGGCGCAAGCCUGAUGCAGCGACGCCGCGUGAGGGAUGGAGGCCUUCGGGUUGUGAACCUCUUUCGCUCAUGGUCAAGCCGCAACAAUGGUUGUGGUGAGGGUAGUGGGUAAAGAAGCGCCGGCUAACUACGUG
rnacentral:rRNA from 1 species